rnacentral:rRNA from 1 species
UGAGUGCUAGGUGUUAGGUCCUUUCCGGGACUUAGUGCCGUAGCUAACGCAUUAAGCACUCCGCCUGGGGAGUACGACCGCAAGGUUGAAACUCAAAGGAAUUGACGGGGGCCCGCACAAGCGGUGGAGCAUGUGGUUUAAUUCGAAGCAACGCGAAGAACCUUACCAGGUCUUGACAUCCCGAUGCUAUUUCUAGAGAUAGGAAGUUUCUUCGGAACAUCGGUGACAGGUGGUGCAUGGCUGUCGUCAG